AGCCGAAAAUGGUUAAGCUUAACUCUCUUAACUUUUCUCAUUCAUUCUCUAUGGUAGUUCUUAACACUACGGAUGUAAUAUACUUUUUCACCACUAGCGGGAUUUUGGGGGCGCUGUUUCCACAUCGUCUUAGUAGUAAGGUUUUCACAGGAAGAGCCUUUAGGAAGACAAAACAACAAUAAUCCUGCGGCCAGAUUUGAUCCGAUCGCUGUUAAAACACAAGAGCACAACAAGUUAAAGUCAAGUUAAAGUCUGAUAUCUCCAGAAUGAAGAGGAAAUUAAUUUUUCCUGGAAAAAUCUGCGUGAGCUUCAGACGAGGCCCAACUGGGUUUCUCAGGCAGGACCCUUCAGAUGAAGCCAAGAGGAUCAAAAAUAAUCCUGAGCUCCAGGACAAGUCUGCUCCCCAGAGAGAGGAAAAAGUGAAGGAAAACGCCCUGUCAAAAGUCUUCAUUAGGGGUGGAGAUACAUCUGACAGGCAGGAGGUGUUGGGGGAGUAUGUUCUUCAAUUUGGCAAAUACAAGGGGAAGUCCUUUCGGUGGCUGCUAGAAAAUGAUAUUGGCUACACCAUUUAUUUAAUUAACAAGGUUGAGGAAGAGGAGAGAGCUGGACUCUUUAAUGCCGAGGGACCAAAGAAGGAGAGUCUCUUUUCAUUUCUGGAUUAUACCCGACACUUUCACGAAAUCAGAGAUCUGAGAAACUAUUUAGCUGAAAGAUCAGUGGAGCCACCUUCAAGUAGUGAGGACAACCAGCUGGUUGGAUUUGGUGUGCAUUCUAAGAAGACCUGGAGGGACGUCUGGGAGAAAAGAGAAGAUGGAUACGCAUCAUUUAUCCUCAGGAAACAGGGGGUUUCAGACGCUAAAAUGUCCUCCAGCAGUACCUGAAGAAGAAAGAGGCUCAGACUCAGAGCUCUUCAGAACCUGCUCUUACUAAACCUUCUUCUAGUCCUCCAGUAUCUUCGUUAGAGAUGGAAGAUGAUGAAGAGUUGGAGAGAAUGAUGCUUUCUGUCUCUCCAUCCAAACUCCUCCCUUUACAAGAGCAGAGACAUUUAGUGAAGAAGAUGACAGGCCCAACAUGUUUAGAAACAAUCCCAACCCAACCAAGUUCACUGAGUAAAGGUCUAGAUGCUGCUGCUGCCACUGCCACCGCCGCCGCUGGUACCUGAUGGUUCUGUCGUAAACCAGGAUCACCUUUUCCUUUCCUCUGUUUGCUGGUUGGCCACGUUCAGGCCUGUUCUAAUGCAGGUGUUUUGUUUGACUGCUUUUAUGAUGCUGAAGGUAUUCAUUGUUCGUCGUCGAGGGUAAGUACAGACUUAUGUUAUUUGCAUGGGUUUGGUUAUAGGUUUGGUAUGAAAAUGAUUGAAGGAAACCAGUCUUAAAAAGCAGAAUUACAACAAAAGUACAUGUCUUAACACAUCAGAGUAAAGUGGUUACACAUGGAUUAUUACAUCAUAAUGGAACCUUUCCUGGUCAAUCAAAAGAUAAAAAAAUGAAACUAAUAGUUAAUUUAUUGAUUUUCAUACCACACCUGUUCUAUUGAGCAUGUUUUCUUGCAUGGUUUUGAGUGUUUUGCACAAUUACUAACAAAGAACUCUAAAUACCUGGGCAUUACUGAUGGAUAUUUCUGUUGAUCUGAAUCCAGACCAUCCUGAGAGGUCCAGCUGUCCUGCUGCCACACAUGCAGUUACUUCAGCUCCAGUGAAGACUCCUCUGCCAGUACCACCAGAGUUGCUCGCUUUGGAACUGCCUCAAAGUGUCCAGGAUAAAACCUACACAGUCGUUGGAAGACCCUCAGCUCAGUCUGCAGCUCCUUCUCCUGCUCACUUUCAGCCAACGCCUGCUGCUUCACCACUUCCAUCUUAUGACCAGGAUGUUAGCAGCUGGAACUGCUCUCCCCAGCAGAGGAUCUGGAUGAAAACAGAGAUGGAAGCCUUAGGACUGUGGCCUGGGUCUCCACCUGUAAGACAUGCCAUGAAUAUGAUCUCCU